GGCCUACCAUGGUGGUAACGGGUAACGGGGUGUUAGGGCACGACACCGGAGAGGGAGCCUGAGAAACGGCUACCACAUCCAAGGAAGGCAGCAGGCGCGCAAAUUACCCAAUCCCGAGACGGGGAGGUAGUGACAAUAAAUAACAAUUCAGGGCUCUUUUGGGUCUUGUAAUUGGAAUGAGUACAAUUUAAAUCUCUUAACGAGGAACAAUUGGAGGGCAAGUCUGGUGCCAGCAGCCGCGGUAAUUCCAGCUCCAAUAGCGUAUAUUAAAGUUGUUGCAGUUAAAAAGCUCGUAGUUGAAUUUCGGGAUCAAUAUGUCGGUCGUGCCUUCGGUACGUACUGGUAUCAUUGGUCUCUCCUUUCUGACGAACCAUGAUGUCAUUAAUUUGGUGUUAUGGGGAGUUAGGACUGUUACUUUGAAAAAAUUAGAGUGUUUAAAGCAGGCUUUAGCUUGAAUACAUUAGCAUGGAAUAAUGAAAUAGGACGUUCGAACCUAUUUUGUUGGUUUCUAGGAUCAACGUAAUGAUUAAUAGGGAUAGUUGGGGGCAUUAGUAUUCAAUUGUCAGAGGUGAAAUUCUUGGAUUUAUUGAAGACUAACUACUGCGAAAGCAUUUGCCAAGGAUGUUUUCAUUAAUCAAGAACGAAAGUUAGGGGAUCGAAGACGAUCAGAUACCGUCGUAGUCUUAACCAUAAACUAUGCCAACUAGGGAUCGGAUGAUGUUAAUUUUUUAAUGACUCAUUCGGCGCCUUACG
rnacentral:rRNA from 1 species